UACGGAGGGUGCAAGCGUUAUCCGGAUUCACUGGGUUUAAAGGGUGCGUAGGCGGACCUGCAAGUCGGGGGUGAAAGCCCGAGGCUCAACCUCGGAACUGCCUUCGAUACUGCGGGUCUCGAGUCCGGGAGAGGUGAGUGGAAUUCCUAGUGUAGAGGUGAAAUUCGUAGAUAUUAGGAAGAACACCAGUGGCGAAGGCGGCUCACUGGCCCGGUACUGACGCUGAGGCGGCGAAAAGC
rnacentral:rRNA from 1 species